rnacentral:rRNA from 1 species
UACGGAGGGUGCAAGCGUUAUCCGGAUUCACUGGGUUUAAAGGGUGCGUAGGCGGCCACGCACGUCCGUUGUGAAAUCGCCCGGCUCAACUGGGCGGGGUCAGCGGAUACGGUGUGGCUAGAGCAAGCUAGGGGGCAAUGGAAUUCCCGGUGUAGUGGUGGAAUGCGUAGAUAUCGGGAGGAACACCAGUGGCGAAGGCGGUUGCCUGGAGCUUUGCUGACGCUGAUGCGCGAAAGCGUGGGGAGCGAUCCGG